GAAAUAUUCUAUGAAGAAUAAUAUAUAAAGCAGAAUAUUUUUUAACUUAUGAUUAGUGUAUUUCGCAACAUUAUUCAUAAAUAAUUCCAUCGUUUCCAACGAAAAAUUCAAAAUGAAAUACUUCAACAUCAUUUUUGUUAUGUGUUUUGUUAUGUGCAUCGUUUCCUUUUCGAUUGUCUCAGCUUCAUCUCUGCAUAAGAAUGAAAGUAAACCUUUGGUAAACGAAAGAAACAAUACCAAUGGUGACGGCAGUGCUAAUCUUGAUGAUGAUGAUCAAACUAAAGGUUCAGUACCAUUGAAUUCCGCCAGCCUUGAAUCAGUUCCACUUUAAACAUUUUCAAAAUAUAUGAAAAACAUUAAUUCAAUAAUAUUAUAAUAUUUUCAGCAAAAAAAUCAAUUUAUAUAAAUUUCUUAAUUAAAAUUGUUAUACAUUAUAUAAUGAUUUUAUUUCCAAAAUAAAAUUUCUCAUAUCAGUA